rnacentral:lncRNA from 1 species
CGAUGGCGGCGGUAGAGGAGAUGGCGGAGGAUUGGGAUCAGGCGGUGGGCUCGGCGAUGGUGGCGGUGGAGGAGAUGGCGGAGAUGGCGGAGGAUUGGGAUUAGGCGGUGGGCUCGGCGAUGGUGGCGGUGGAGGAGGUGGCGGAGAUGGCGGAGGAUUGGGAUUAGGUGGUGGGCUCGGCGAUGGCGGCGGUGGAGGAGGUGGCGGAGAUGGCGGAGGAUUGGGAUUAGGCGGUGGGCUCGGCGAUGGUGGCGGUGGAGGAGAUGGCGGAGAUGGCGGAGGAUUGGGAUUAGGCGGUGGGCUGGGCGAUGGUGGCGGUGGAGGAGAUGGCGGAGAUGGCGGAGGAUUGGGAUUAGGCGGUGGGCUCGGCGAUGGUGGCGGUGGAGGAGAUGGCGGAGAUGGCGGAGGAUUGGGAUUAGGCGGUGGGCUCGGCGAUGGUGGCGGUGGAGGAGAUGGCGGAGAUGGCGGAGGAUUGGGAUAGGCGGUGGGCUCGGCGAUGGUGGCGGUGGAGGAGAUGGCGGACUCUGGCCCCACGAUUGGGAUCGGUUACGAGUGUUGCCUGGUAAGGUGUUGAUUCAUUAAGGCAUGUAAUCCCUAAGACCGCAAUCGUCUGCAGCUGGUAGCGUUGUAUCGUGUACGACAGAGUGAUGUUGAUGACUUGUCGACUACAGCCGCUGGCAUCCAGUCCUGUCAGGUUCACCUGUGUAUAUGCAUGAAUGGGGAAUGGGACACCGUGGGUACACCGUGCCAGGCGCAGAUAUAUCGUCCAGAUAAAAGGUACUGUUUGAUAC